UGGGGAAUAUUGCACAAUGGGCGAAAGCCUGAUGCAGCAACGCCGCGUGAGCGAUGAAGGCCUUCGGGUCGUAAAGCUCUGUCCUAUGGGAAGAUAAUGACGGUACCAUAGGAGGAAGCCCCGGCUAACUACGUGCCAGCAGCCGCGGUAAUACGUAGGGGGCAAGCGUUAUCCGGAAUUACUGGGCGUAAAGGGUGCGUAGGCGGUUUAUCAAGUCAGGGGUGAAAGGCUACGGCUCAACCGUAGUGAGCCUCUGAAACUGGUGAACUUGAGUGUAGGAGAGGAAAGUGGAAUUCCCAGUGUAGCGGUGAAAUGCGUAGAUAUUGGGAGGAACACCAGUGGCGAAGGCGACUUUCUGGACUACAACUGACGCUGAGGCACGAAAGCGUGGGGAGCAAACAGGAUUAGAUACCCUGGUAGUCCACGCUGUAAACGAUGAGUACUAGGUGUCGGCUGUCAAAGGUCGGUGCCGGCGUUAACACAUUAAGUACUCCGCCUGGGGAGUACGCUCGCAAGAGUG
rnacentral:rRNA from 1 species